rnacentral:rRNA from 1 species
CCNCGUAUGNCGCAACGAGCGCAACCCUACGUCUUUAGUUGCCAUCAUGUUAGUAGGGCACUACUAAAGAAACUGCCGGUGAUAAGCCGGAGGAAGGUGGGGAUGACGUCAAGUCCUCAUGGUCACUUACGUCUAGGGCUACACACGUGCUACAAUGGCGGGGACAGAGGGCUGCGAGCCGGCAACGGCAAGCCAAUCCCGUAAACCCCGCCUCAGUUCGGAUAGUCGUCUGCAACCCGACGGCAUGAAGCUGGAAUCGCUAGUAAUCGUGGAUCAGCUACGCCACGGUGAAUACGUUCCCGGGCCUUGUACACACCGCCCGUCACGCCAUGGAAGCUGUGAGCGCACGAAGUGCGUGUCGCAACCCGCAAGGAGGCAAGCGGCCGAAUGCGAGCGCAGUGACUGGGGCGAAGUCGUAACAACGUAGCCGUAGGGGAANCCUGCGGCUGGAUCACCUCGUUAACGGAUCGCGAGUAACUCACCACGGCUCACGCCCGCGUGAUGGAGAGCAUCUCGUAGUCGCUGCGCUUCGACACAUGCCUGUCCAUUCCACUCUCGNAUUGNUAGACCCCAUUGGGCUGCACGCCCCAUNGAAGGGG